rnacentral:rRNA from 1 species
ACCGGCGGCCCGAGUGGUGAUCGUGAUUAUUGGGUCUAAAGGGUCCGUAGCCGGUUUGGUCAGUCCUCCGGGAAAUCUGAUAGCUCAACUAUUAGGCUUUCGGGGGAUACUGCCAGACUUGGAACCGGGAGAGGUAAGAGGUACUACAGGGGUAGGAGUGAAAUCUUGUAAUCCCUGUGGGACCACCUGUGGCGAAGGCGUCUUACCAGAACGGGUUCGACGGUGAGGGACGAAAGCUGGGGGCACGAACCGGAUUAGAUACCCGGGUAGUCCCAGCCGUAAACGAUGCUCGCUAGGUGUCAGGCAUGGCGCGACCGUGUCUGGUGCCGCAGGGAAGCCGUGAAGCGAGCCACCUGGGAAGUACGGCCGCAAGGCUGAAACUUAAAGGAAUUGGCGGGGGAGCACAACAACGGGUGGAGCCCUGCGGUUUAAUUGGACUCAACGCCGGACAACUCACCGGGGGCGACAGCAAUAUGUAGGCCAAGCUGAAGACUUUGCCUGAAUCGCUGAGAAGUGGUGCAUGG